rnacentral:tRNA from 1 species
AAGAAAUUAGUUAAUUUAUAACAUUAGUAUGUCAAACUAAAAUUAUCAAAAGAUAUUUCUUU